CUGCAGCCGACGAGUCCCAAAUAGCACGAAACACGUGUCAUGGAU
rfam:Schistosoma haematobium scaffold653_2, whole genome shotgun sequence.